AGAGUUUGAUCCUGGCUCAGAUUGAACGCUGGCGGCAGGCCUAACACAUGCAAGUCGAGCGGAAACGAGUUAUCUGAACCUUCGGGGGACGAUAAUGGCGUCGAGCGGCGGACGGGUGAGUAAUGCCUAGGAAAUUGCCCUGAUGUGGGGGAUAACCAUUGGAAACGAUGGCUAAUACCGCAUAAUACCUUCGGGUCAAAGAGGGGGACCUUCGGGCCUCUCGCGUCAGGAUAUGCCUAGGUGGGAUUAGCUAGUUGGUGAGGUAAUGGCUCACCAAGGCGACGAUCCCUAGCUGGUCUGAGAGGAUGAUCAGCCACACUGGAACUGAGACACGGUCCAGACUCCUACGGGAGGCAGCAGUGGGGAAUAUUGCACAAUGGGCGCAAGCCUGAUGCAGCCAUGCCGCGUGUGUGAAGAAGGCCUUCGGGUUGUAAAGCACUUUCAGUCGUGAGGAAGGUAGUGUAGUUAAUAGCUGCAUUAUUUGACGUUAGCGACAGAAGAAGCACCGGCUAACUCCGUGCCAGCAGCCGCGGUAAUACGGAGGGUGCGAGCGUUAAUCGGAAUUACUGGGCGUAAAGCGCAUGCAGGUGGUUUGUUAAGUCAGAUGUGAAAGCCCGGGGCUCAACCUCGGAAUAGCAUUUGAAACUGGCAGACUAGAGUACUGUAGAGGGGGGUAGAAUUUCAGGUGUAGCGGUGAAAUGCGUAGAGAUCUGAAGGAAUACCGGUGGCGAA
rnacentral:rRNA from 1 species